CUUGAAAUGAUCCAAAAUGAUGCAGAGCUCAUGGGCUUGAAGUUAAUCCAAGCACCACUGGUUGAUGUAGAAAUUAGAGGAGUUCCUGCCCUAAGAUUCAUGGGAGACAUUGUCUGGAAGUGACAUUGUCUUGAACCGAAAGCCACAUGAAGAUCGACAUCUUGCAAGAGGCAAAGACCCGAAACUCUGAUAGCAUAAUAUCUGCUGCAUGGCAAGUAGUCGAUAGGCUUCGUAUCUGAUCGGGGUUUCAAAGCAGGUUAUUUAUGGAGCAGUUGAAAGGAAAAUGUUGCAUGCUGACUUUAUCCAACCCCUCUUUUUUCCCCCCAAAACACAUGUUUAUGCUGAAAUGUAGUACUGCUUGCCUGUGUGGCUGUGCUUGUUUAGCUGAUUAUUUGCAAAGUGAAGGGGAAGAUGGGAGGGAAUUUUGAUCUACAUGGUUAUCUGUUCUAGCUUUCUUAUCUACACAACUCAUGCAUUUCAUUCAUGAGACAAAUAUAUGAGAACGACUGUCUUCAAGGUGUAUUAUUUCCACUUCUGAUGCUUGCAAUGGUAAAGAUGAGUUGCCUGUA